GACGAACGCUGGCGGCGUGCUUAACACAUGCAAGUCGAACGGUGAAGGGGUCUGCUUUUGUGGGCCCUGGAUGAGUGGCGAACGGGUGAGUAACACGUGAGUAACCUGCCCCCUUCUUCUGGAUAACCGCAUGAAAGUGUGGCUAAUACGGGAUAUUCUGGGUCUGUCGCAUGAUGGGUCUGGGAAAGAUUGCGCCUUUGGGUGUUUUUGGUGGGGGAUGGGCUCGCGGCCUAUCAGCUUGUUGGUGGGGUGAUGGCCUACCAAGGCGGUGACGGGUAGCCGGCCUGAGAGGGUGGACGGUCACACUGGGACUGAGACACGGCCCAGACUCCUACGGGAGGCAGCAGUGGGGAAUAUUGCACAAUGGGCGCAAGCCUGAUGCAGCGACGCCGCGUGAGGGAUGGAGGCCUUCGGGUUGGAAACCUCUUUCGCCAGUGAAGCAGGCCUGCUCCUUGUGGGUGGGUUGACGGUAGCUGGAUAAGAAGCGCCGGCUAACUACG
rnacentral:rRNA from 1 species